rnacentral:lncRNA from 10 species
CAGGCAGGUCAGGCCAGGCUUUCUGGGGAGUGAAUGCUCUCUGCCAGUGGCGGAUGGAACUGGUAGACACGUCCCCCGGAUUCCUCGCCUGCAAGUGGGAUGGUGCCAGGAAAGUUCUACACCAUCCUUCCCAGGUCCCAGGAGGACAAGCACAGUUGUCCACAAGUGUGGAUCAGUGUUAAAAGUGCUUCAUGGAGAAAUGGAGGCCUGAAAGCGACUCUGAAGGAGGAGUGGGGCUCAGCAAACAGCAGACGAGUUUCAAUCCAAGCACCCAUUACCCCCCUAACACACGGCAUACGUGCAUCUCAUCUCCUCCUGUGUCGCUAAGAAGCUACCCAUAUGUCUGUCAUUAAUUCUCCAGAAUCCUUGGACACACCCCUCUGCAGAGCUUUCUAACAGGAAAUACAAGUCUCAGAUUUUUUUUUAAGUUAAAAUUGAGUGCAGCACUCAUACCUUUCUUCGAGCAUGAACCGUCAAUCAACACUGCCUCAU